AUCUGAACUGAGUGGCAAAACAUAGGGAAUGGGACAUCAGGAGGGCCAGUCUCAGUUUUAAUGCUAUGACCCUGGGCAAAUUACCUGUCUGCCCCUGUUUUAUCACACCACACACUUUGUCUUGUCUGUCCAGACUCUAGCUGCUUUGGGACAGACACCAUCUCUCAAAAUGUGUUAGUAAUUCUCCUUGGAGGGCACUGGAGAACAAAAUAAGUGCUUAGUAUAUCAUCAAAAUAUUUAGUAAAUAAUAGGCAAUUGUGAGUCACUGCCCUGUAACUCCAUGUCUGGCUCUUGGUUUGUUGAAGAACAGCUAUGAAUCAGCUUUGGUCUGCAGGGUACUUGGAAAGCACCCAGCACGCGGACAGCUUCGUCUGUGAAUGCCUUUUUUUUUACAGGAUAAUCUGGUUCUGCGAUAGCACAGGGGAGUUUUGGCUGAUACAGUGACAUCAGGCUCAGCGCUCCUACCCCACACAAAGAAGAGUUCAUUCUGCUGGGGGUUGCCCUUCUCUUCCCAGCCCUUCCACCCCUGCACCUUUGGCUGCUGGAUGAUGCUCUUGUCAGCCCAGUGAAAAUUCUUGUGCAAUCCUGACAAAUGAACACCACAAGAAGUUGGAUCUGGAAAGACCAUCAGCCCUCAUGGGUUUAGGAACAUCUGUGAAUUUAGCAUGAAGGCACUUUGAGACAGAAACCAGCUGAGAGAGAGCACGGGAUAAAUCGCCAGCUGGGUCUCUCUCUGCCCACUGUAAAAUGAGCACAGAGGACCAGCGAGAGUAAGUGGAUAACUCUCAGAUGGCUGAAAUUGCGUCAGAGAUUUGCACCCAUAGCGACCAGAAGAAAAACGAGUCAGGUGAACAGAGGAUUGUAAGAAAGGAAAAAAGAAAGCACAGCCUUGGCUAUCAUAAAGUCUAUGUGACAUUGAGCAACAGCUUCAGCUGUUAUCGCCUGCCUUCACACACUCCGAGGCCAGAUGGCUGAAGAGAAGGCGUUCAGCCACCAGUCGGUGGGCACUACAGGACUUUCCCAUCAAUCCAGAGAAAGACAAUUCAUUUUUCCCUUUCUGGUAUCAUUCAGACUGCUGUGUGAUGGGAGACUCAAGGGUAACCAACAGCUAAUCCUUGCAGAGCUGGCAGCUCUGGGCAGUAGUCAUAGCUGGAGGGAGGAUACCAAAGACUUUAUGGGGAAAAUUCCCUCUGAUUGCAAAGGGCCAGAGUAAGUGGGGAGAGGUUACUUCUUAUUUUGGGGUAGUCCCUUGGGAUAGUCCAGAUGUGCUCCAUCAUGUCUGGUGGGGCACAUCAAGUGAACAAAUAGUCUUUCAAGUGGAACCUUUGUCCUCCAAGGUAACUUUAAUGGGUUUUCACUAUUCCAUUAUUUCCCAUUGGUGGGUUUCCAUAUGGUUGCUGAAGAUCAUCAGGGAGUUGCACCAUCUGAAAGGGUAUUGUACCAAAGGUUCAACAUGUAGACCCAUAUUCAAGCCUGGAAGACUAAGAAACCAGACUCAUAGGUACAUGUGGCAAACAUAAGUGAGAUGGACAUGACUUAACACUUUGCCAAUAAAAAAGAAAACCCCCCAUCAGCAUUAUGACUUACCAUCUUUCAUAAUGCAAUGAAACUGGAAGAUAAAUAGGGAACUUAGAAACCUCUAAUAGCUUUUAAAGAACGUGGUAUAGCUGCAGUCAAACAAAUGUGCCCGGGUUUUGAUGUUCUAAUAUAUUUUGUCAUUUCUUUUCUGGAAGAGAAAGGAGAAAGCAAUGAAAAUUAGGUUUUGUUUUCCAUUGUUUGUCCCAGCUCCAGCAGUAUGUGCAGAAGAUUGGGUACAUUGAGAUAGCCCUUGAAUAAUGUUGCGAAGGUGGACAGAGAUUAAGAAGAAAAGCAUCCAGUUUGGAGUCAGACAGUAUAAAGAAAUGAAAAUAAAAUUCAGGUCGAAAUGCACUUGA
ensembl:lncRNA